rnacentral:rRNA from 1 species
UGGGGAAUUUUGGACAAUGGGCGAAAGCCUGAUCCAGCAAUGCCGCGUGUGUGAAGAAGGCCUUCGGGUUGUAAAGCACUUUUGUCCGGAAAGAAAUCCUUGGCUCUAAUACAGUCGGGGGAUGACGGUACCGGAAGAAUAAGCACCGGCUAACUACGUGCCAGCAGCCGCGGUAAUACGUAGGGUGCAAGCGUUAAUUGGAAUUACUGGGCGUAAAGCGUGCGCAGGCGGUUUGCUAAGACCGAUGUGAAAUCCCCGGGCUCAACCUGGGAACUGCACUGGUGACUGGCAGGCUAGAGUAUGGCAGAGGGGGGUUAGAAUUCCACGUGUAGCAGUGAAAUGCGUAGAGAUGUGGAGGAAUACCGAUGGCGAAGGCAGCCCCCUGGGCCAAUACUGACGCUCAUGCACGAAAGCGUGGGGAGCAAACAGGAUUAGAUACCCUGGUAGUCCACGCCCUAAACGAUGUCAACUAGUUGUUGGGGGAUUCAUUUCCUUAGUAACGUAGCUAACGCGUGAAGUUGACCGCCUGGGGAGUACGGUCGCAAGAUUAAAACUCAAAGGAAUUGACGGGGUCAUAGCUGUUUCCU